GAUGAACGCUGGCGGCGUGCCUAAUACAUGCAAGUCGAACGAAACUUCUUUAUCACCGAGUGCUUGCACUCACCGAUAACGAGUUGAGUGGCGAACGGGUGAGUAACACGUGGGCAACCUGCCCAAAAGAGGGGGAUAACACUUGGAAACAGGUGCUAAUACCGCAUAACCAUAGUUACCGCAUGGUAACUAUGUAAAAGGUGGCUAUACUACCGCUUUUGGAUGGGCCCGCGGCGCAUUAGCUAGUUGGUAGGGUAAAGGCUUACCAAGGCAAUGAUGCGUAGCCGAAUUGAGAGGUUGAUCGGCCACAUUGGGACUGAGACACGGCCCAAACUCCUACGGGAGGCAGCAGUAGGGAAUCUUCCACAAUGGGCGAAAGCCUGAUGGAGCAACGCCGCGUGGGUGAAGAAGGUCUUCGGAUCGUAAAACCCUGUUGUUAGAGAAGAAAGUGCGUGAGAGUAACUGUUCACGUUUCGACGGUAUCUAACCAGAAAGCCACUGCUAACUACGUG
rnacentral:rRNA from 1 species